GCCUGUUGUCCCCCCACAGCCUGUGGUGCCCCCCCAGUUGUACCCCACCCCCCGCCUGUUGUACUCAUACUGCCUGCCGUAUUCCCGCAGCCUGCGCUGUGCCCACUGCCUGCAAUACUCCCUGAGGCCACUGCUGCUGCCUGUGCCCUGUGCUGCUCCCCAACCUGCUCACCCCACGGCGACCUGUGCUGCUCCCACUGGCCUGUGCUGGUUCGUCGGCCACCGCAGCCCUUUGGCCUGCACUGCAUCCUCUGGCCUGCGCCGUGCCCUCCGGGCACCGCUGCUCCCUCUGGCCACCGCUGCUGCCUCCGGUCUACGCUGCUCUGACCGACCUGCGCUACGCACAGUGACGUGCGCUGCUCUGCCUGGCCUGGGCUGCUUCCUUAAGCCCCCGCCGCUCCAUUGGCCUGCGCUGCUCCCUCNNGCCACCACCGCUCCCUGUGAUCCUCGCUGCUCUGAUCGACCUGCGCUGCUCCCACUGGCCCGUGCUGCUUCCUCAGGCCACCAUGCUCCGUUCGCCUGCCGCGCUCCCGUUGGCCACCGCUGCUGCCGAUGCUGCGUGCUGCUCUGCCCGGCCUGUGCUGCUCCCACUGCCUGUCGGGCUCCCACUGCCUUUUGAAGAUCCCCCUGCCCGUUGCGUGCCCGCUGCCCUUUGUGCGCCCGCUGGCUUCCGAGCUCCCGCGGCCUGUUGAGCGUCCGCUGCGCGCUGUGGGCCCGCUGCCUGCGCUGCGCCCGCGAUCUCUCCUGCGCCCACCGCCUUCGCUGACCGUCUGGCCACCGCCGCGCUCUAUGGCCUGUGCUGCUCCAUCCGACCUGCGUUGCACACGCUCACGUGCGCUGCUCCGAUUGGCCUGGGCUGCUGCUGCCUUAAGCCACGGGGGCUCGGUUGGCCUGCGCUGCUCCCCGUGGCCACCGCUGCACCCUCAGCCAGCACGUCUCCCUCUGGCCACCGCUGCUUCCUGUCGUCUCUGCUGCUCUGAGCAGCCUGCGUUGCGCACAGCUGCCCUGCUCUGUUCCCGCUGGCCUGGGCGGCUUCCGUGGGCCACCGUGCUCCAUUGGCCUGCCCUGCCCUCGCUGGCCACCGCCGCUGCCGGUGGUGUGCGCUGCUCGACCGGCCUGGGCCGCUCCCCCUGGCUGCUGCGCGCCCGCUGCCUGCGCUCGCCAACGGCCCUGCACUGCUUCCUCCUGGCACUCCUGCUGCCUGUCAUCUGUGCUGCUCUGACUGGCCUGUGCUGCU
rnacentral:lncRNA from 1 species